AUUGAACGCUGGCGGCAGGCUUAACACAUGCAAGUCGAGCGAGCGGCGGACGGGUGAGUAAUGUGUGGGAAACCGCCUGAUGGGGGGGGAUAACCAGUGGAAAAGGUAGCUAAUACCGCAUACUAUCAGAUGUGCACAGAUGGGAUGAGCUAGUAGGUGGGGUAAUGGCUCACCUAGGCGACGAUCCCUAGCUGGUCUGAGAGGAUGACCAGCCACACUGGAACUGAGACACGGUCCAGACUCCUACGGGAGGCAGCAGUGGGGAAUAUUGCACAAUGGGCGCAAGCCUGAUGCAGCCAUGCCGCGUGUGUGAAGAAGGCCUUCGGGUUGUAAAGCACUUUCAGCGGGGAGGCGUUACUCGCAGAAGAAGCACCGGCUAACUCCGUGCCAGCAGCCGCGGUAAUAC
rnacentral:rRNA from 1 species